AACGGUAUUCCCCUAGUACGGCGAGUGAGUGGGAAAAGCUCAACUUUGAAAUCUGGCACCUUCGGUGUCCGAGUUGUAGUCUCAAGAAGUGUUUUCUGUGCUGGUCCAUGUAUGAGUCUGUUGGAACACAGCGUCAUAGAGGGUGACAACCCCGUUCAUGACAUGGAUACCAGUGCUUUGUGAUACACUCUCGAAGAGUCGAGUUGUUUGGGAAUGCAGCUCAAAUUGGGUGGUAAAUUCCAUCUAAAGCUAAAUAUUGGCGAGAGACCGAUAGCAAACAAGUACCGUGAGGGAAAGAUGAAAAGCACUUUGGAAAGAGAGUUAACAGUACGUGAAAUUGUUGAAAGGGAAACGAUUGAAGUCAGACGUGCGUGAUGCGGUUCAGCACUGGUUCGCCAGUGUGUAUUCCGUAUCUUUGCAGGCCAACAUCAGUUUCGGUAGUCGGAUAAAGGUUAGUUGAAUGUGGCACCCUCGGGUGUGUUAUAGCUUCUAACUGAAUACGAUUUCUGGGACUGAGGAACGCAGCGCGCCGCAAGGCAAAGGUUCCGACCUUUUCGCGCUUAGGAUGUUGGUGAAAUGGCUUUAAACGACCCGUCUUGA
rnacentral:rRNA from 1 species